rnacentral:misc_RNA from 1 species
UCUUCUUUUCUUUUUUUUUUUUUUAUGUGAUAACAUGAACAUGAUAAAGAAACUGCAAGUCAUGCAUAUGCCAUAUAUCCAUGAAUGCUCAGCCAAAAAAUUAAGCAUCAUUACCAUAUGAUACAUGACAGAAGAAGCCAUCUAUUAAUUCCUUCUUUUUGGUGGUUCAUUAUAUGAACAUGAUAACUCAUGCAUAUGCCAGAUGUCCACAAAUUCUCAGCCAUAAAUAAGCAUCAUUGAAGACAUCAAUAAUCAGAUUGAAGCAUGCAUUUCUAUAGCAUAAGUUCUUAAGGAAACGCAAAACUUACCUUGCCCUCAUCAG